AUACGUAGGGGGCAAGCGUUAUCCGGAUUUACUGGGCGUAAAGGGAGCGUAGACGGCGAAGCAAGUCUGAAGUGAAAGGACGGGGCCCAACCCCGGCACUGCUUUGGAAACUGUUUGGCUGGAGUGCGGGAGGGGUAAGCGGAAUUCCUAGUGUAGCGGUGAAAUGCGUAGAUAUUAGGAGGAACACCGGUGGCGAAGGCGACUUACUGGACCGUAACUGACGUUGAGGCUCGAAUGCGUGGGGAGCAUACAGGAUUGGAUCCCCGGGUAGUCCACGCGGUAAACGAUGAUCACUAGGUGUCCGUGGGUAUGACCCAUGGGUGCCGCAGCCAACGCAACAAGUGAUCCACCUGGGGAGUACGUUCGCAAGAAUGAAACUAAAAUGAAUAGACGGGG
rnacentral:rRNA from 1 species